CAACCAAUGGCACAGUUGGUUAGCGCGCCUGCCGAUACUGGUCUCGGUAAAGUAAUCAGUGUGAGCAGGAGUCCCUCGUUCGAACCGAGGUUGGGUCA